ensembl:lncRNA
AACACAUACGAGCAUUCUGAACCAAAAAACAACAACAGCAAAAAAGCCCAGAUAAAAAAGGGGGGUAAAAUAAAAACAAUCUCUCACUGCUCCUCUCACUGCAUCUCUCACUGCUCCUGCUCCUCUCACUGCUCCUCUCACUGCAUCUCUCACUGCUCCUGCUCCUCUCACUGCUCCUGCUCCUCUCACUGCUCCUCUCACUGCUCCUGCUCCUCUCACUGCUCCUCUCACUGCUCCUGCUCCUCUCACUGCUCCUCUCACUGCUCCUCUCAUUGCUCCUGCUCCUCUCACUGCUCCUCUCACUGCAUCUCUCACUGCUACUCUCACUGCUCCUGCUCCUCUAACUGCUCCUCUCACUGCUCCUGCUCCUCUCACUGCAUCUCUCACUGCUCCUGCUCCUCUCACUGCUCCUCUCACUGCUCCUGCUCCUCUCACUGCAUCUCUCACUGCUCCUGCUCCUCUCACUGCUCCUGCUCCUCUCACUGCAUCUCUCACUGCUCCUGCUCCUCUCACUGCUCCUGCUCCUCUCACUGCUCCUCUCACUGCUCCUCUCAUUGCUCCUGCUCCUCUCACUGCUCCUCUCACUGCAUCUCUCACUGCUCCUCUCACUGCUCCUGCUCCUCUAACUGCUCCUCUCACUGCUCCUGCUCCUCUCACUGCAUCUCUCACUGCUCCUGCUCCUCUCACUGCUCCUCUCACUGCUCCUGCUCCUCUUACUGCAUCUCUCACUGCUCCUGCUCCUCUCACUGCUCCUGCUCCUCUCACUGCAUCUCUCACUGCUCCUGCUCCUCUCACUGCUCCUCUCACUGCUCCUGCUCCUCUUACUGCAUCUCUCACUGCUCCUGCUCCUCUCACUGCUCCUGCUCCUCUCACUGCUCCUGCUCCUCUCACUGCUCCUGCUCCUCUCACUGCCCCUGCUCCUCUCACUGCUCCUGCUCCUCUCACUGCUCCUGCUCCUCUCACUGCAUCUCUCACUGCUGCUGCUCCUCUCACUGCUCCUGCUCCUCUCACUGCAUCUCUCACUGCUCCUGCUCCUCUCACUGCUCCUGCUCCUCUCACUGCAUCUCUCACUGCUCCUCUCACUGCUCCUGCUCCUCUCACUGCAUCUCUCACUGCUCCUGCUCCUCUCACUGCUCCUCUCACUGCUCCUGCUCCUCUCACUGCAUCUCUCACUGCUCCUGCUCCUCUUACUGCUUCCUGCUCCUCUCACUGCUCCUGCUCCUCUCACUGCAUCUCUCACUGCUCCUGCUCCUCUCACUGCUCCUGCUCCUCUCACUGCAUCUCUCACUGCUCCUGCUCCUCUCACUGCUCCUCUCACUGCUCCUGCUCCUCUCACUGCAUCUCUCACUGCUCCUGCUCCUCUUACUGCUUCCUGCUCCUCUCACUGCUCCUGCUCCUCUCACUGCAUCUCUCACUGCUCCUGCUCCUCUCACUGCUCCUGCUCCUCUCACUGCAUCUCUCACUGCUCCUGCUCCUCUCACUGCUCCUCUCACUGCUCCUGCUCCUCUCACUGCAUCUCUCACUGCUCCUGCUCCUCUUACUGCUUCCUGCUCCUCUCACUGCUCCUCUCACUGCUCCUGCUCCUCUCACUGGGCCCCUUGCUCUUACUUUUCCUCGUCCAUACAUUACAGUGUUUGUCUUUUUCUGUUUCUGUUUCCAAAAAUAUCACUCUUCAAAGUCCUCCUGGUAUUGUAUAAGUGUCAAUGUAAUAGAAAAAAAUAA